rnacentral:lncRNA from 1 species
CGAUGACCUCGUUGAUGGCUUGAUUCGAGUCUGCAGCGUUGUCGAUCGGCCGGAACGCUCCGCGGCCGGGCUCCGUCUAAUCGCUGGCUCGCUGUAGUUCACACUGUCCCACCUCCGCUUCUCCGUCGCGGGGCCGGCUUAGUGUUGAUUACUGUACGGUUUUAAUGGACUAAUUAACUUUAAUCCACUAACUCCCACCGUAAAGGGUGUGUUUCACUGGUGAAAAGUGUGUCACUCAAGCUCGGACAUCGGAUUGCUGUCUUUUAACAGUUUUAUUUCAAUUCACCGCUAACUAUUACUAGCACAGUAACCGUGUCGUUUGCCAGCCAGGUAAUCAACUGUAACGACAUAAACAUACACACCCACAACAUUAACAACACGGACAUAUUAUCGACUGUAUGAACUGCACACAUGAACAUUUAAGUAGUUACAGGUUUAACAUCAACACGUUAACUCACCAGCUCAGCUUCACCAGUCAAAACAGCGACAUCCGUACAAAUGAAAUCCGGCAGGUAAACACAUACGCGGGUAACACACAUCACGCCCUAUAUUUUCUUAGAUUAAUCCGCCCCAAAUAAAAUACAGAAAAAUGCGAUAAUUCUAUAACAUAAUACAGAGUGUUUGGUUGGCGAUAAAUCAAAACAAAUAAAUUAUACACCAACAUGUGAAAAAUAGGAGAACUCCACACAAUGUGCCUAAAUAUACAUUUGCUCCAUGGCAGCACUUCGUUAGCAAACGAUUUGUUUUUGUAUAUUCAUCAAUCAAAACGGAAUUUAAAUGCAUUAGUAUCACUUUUAUUACGCUGUAGUAAUCCUGAAAGGGUUUUGUUUAAUCUAUUUCAGGGUGUAAAAGGAGAAAAUGGAGACUUUGGAGAAAAAGGCUGCAAGGGUACAACAGGAGAUCCUGGUUAUAGCUACACAAAAGGCUCAAAGGGAGACAAAGGACAACCUGGUCCAGAAGGAAAGCCAGGAAAAGAUGGGGAUCCUGGAAAACGUGGAUUUGAGGUAUUACAUAACCAUUGUCUGCGUGCAUGAGUGUGUGUGUGGCCUAUUAUUACAGUAUAUUUCUACCUAGGGAAUACCUGGCCUCAAGGGGGAUCCAGGUUUUGCAGGUCCACAAGGAGGAAUGGUCAGUUACUUAUAUACACAAGCGCGCUCUCAAUCCGUCUAGAAAUGUACAAUUACAAAAAAUAAUAAUAAUUUUCUAUUUUUCUGAUGAUGU